UACGGAGGGUGCAAGCGUUAUCCGGAUUUACUGGGUUUAAAGGGUGCGUAGGUGGGCAGGUAAGUCAGUGGUGAAAUCUUCAAGCUUAACUUGGAAACUGCCAUUGAUACUAUUUGUCUUGAAUAUCCUGGAGGUAAGCGGAAUAUGUCAUGUAGCGGUGAAAUGCUUAGAUAUGACAUAGAACACCCAUUGCGAAGGCAGCUCACUACGGGAUGAUUGACACUGAGGCACGAAAGCGUGGGGAGUCAAACAGG
rnacentral:rRNA from 1 species